rnacentral:rRNA from 1 species
AUGGUGCCGGCUGCUGAUGGGGCCGUGGGGCAGGUGGCCUCGGUGCCCUCAUCAGGGCCUGCGGUGGGUGAGCUACUGAUGGUGCAGAUUGAUUCUUUGGGAGGGAGGCCGAGGCUGCUAGAUCCGGCACCUUCCUCCCCUUUUACCGGGCCGGCGACGCUGGCGCCGGAGUCGCUUUUCGGAGAGGACUCGGGGCAGGUGGCCUCGGGGUCCUCUUCUCUUGUGGAGCCUAGAGGGGCUUGCUCGCCGACGCCGCCGGUGCCGCCAGUUGGCCCUUGGGCCGGGGUGGAUGGGGAGCUCGGGCAGGAGGCCCUGGCUCCACCUUCCCCCGGCUUGGGGCACUCCAGUAGAGCUUCUCGGGAGGAGGUGAUUGCUUUCGGUGGUAUUCUGGAUCCGGUCUCUGAGGGGCGACGGAUGAGUAGCCGUCUCCAGGACCAUCCGAAAGUGGACGACAUUCAGCAACGGUGCACUAUGAGGGCGGCCAAGCUUCGUGACGUGGAGGUUACUACUGGUAUGUCAAUCAAUACCUCUAAUUCUAUUUUGCAUUUUUCAAAUGAUGAGAUUAUAAACAAUGCAAAUAAGAUAGGAAUUUCACUAGGUAGUAAUGAUAGUGAGAUUUCAAACUCGGUUAAUGAUAUGCUGGAUUUAGAGGCCGAAUGGGCGCUUGAGAUGAUUCAUAACUUAGCUGCGGUUAAACCAAUGAAUAACUCUGAGAUUGAUGCUUUGGGGGUCAGGGUGCUCGAUAACUUUUGUGUGGAUCUUGCUCAUCCGUCUGCUGAACCUGAGGAGGAGGAUGAGCGAGUGGACUUUGUAGAGGUGCGCGCCUCUGAGACUGGUUGUGAGGACCAGCAGGAGAGUUUCAAUAUUCCUAAACACAAAUGGAAGCGGAAGAUCUACCCAGACUCCACAGUGCGUAGGAGCGCGCGGAUAAGAACGGCUAAAAAAUUCCAUGACGAGAUAUGA